UAGGGAAUCUUCCACAAUGGGCGCAAGCCUGAUGGAGCAACGCCGCGUGAGUGAAGAAGGUCUUCGGAUCGUAAAACUCUGUUGUUAGAGAAGAACAUGCAGGAGAGUAACUGUUCUUGUAUUGACGGUAUCUAACCAGAAAGCCACGGCUAAAUACGUGCCAG
rnacentral:rRNA from 1 species